rnacentral:rRNA from 1 species
AUUGAACGCUGGCGGCAGGCCUAACACAUGCAAGUCGAGCGGAUGACGGGAGCUUGCUCCUUGAUUCAGCGGCGGACGGGUGAGUAAUGCCUAGGAAUCUGCCUGGUAGUGGGGGACAACGUAUCGAAAGGAACGCUAAUACCGCAUACGUCCUACGGGAGAAAGCAGGGGACCUUCGUGCCUUGCGCUAUCAGAUGCGCCUAGGUCGGAUUAGCGAGGAGGUUAGGUAAUGGCUCACCUAGGCGACGAUCCGUAACUGGUCUGAGAGGAUGAUCAGUAACACUGGAACUGAGACACGGUCCAGACUCCUACGGGAGGCAGCAGUGGGGAAUAUAGGACAAUGGGCGAAAGCCUGAUCCAGCAAUGCCGCGUGUGUGAAGAAGGUCUUCGGAUUGUAAAGCACUUUAAGUUGGGAGGAAGGGCAGUAAGUUAAUACCUUGCUGUUUUGACGUUACCGACAGAAUAAGCACCGGCUAACUCUGUGCCAGCCGCCGCAGUAAUAC